rnacentral:rRNA from 1 species
UACGGAGGGUGCAAGCGUUAUCCGGAUUUACUGGGUUUAAAGGGUGCGUAGGUGGGUAGGAAAGUCAGUGGUGAAAUCUUCGGGCUUAACCCGGAAACUGCCAUUGAUACUAUUUAUCUUGAAUACUUUGGAGGUAAGCGGAAAUAUGUCAUGUAGCGGUGAAAUGCUUAGAUAUGACAUAGAACACCAAUUGCGAAGGCAGCUUACUACACAGUUAUUGACACUGAGGCACGAAAGCGUGGGGAUCAAACAGG